rnacentral:rRNA from 1 species
GUCUACGGCCAUGCACCCUGAACAAGCCCGAUCCCAUCUGAUCUCGGAAGCUAAGCAGGGUCGGGCCCGGUUAGUACUUGGAUGGGAGACCACCUAGGAAGACCAGGUGCUAUAGGCG